rnacentral:rRNA from 1 species
GAUGAACGCUGGCGGCGUGCCUAAUACAUGCAAGUCGAGCGAACGGACGAGAAGCUUGCUUCUCUGAUGUUAGCGGCGGACGGGUGAGUAACACGUGGAUAACCUACCUAUAAGACUGGGAUAACUUCGGGAAACCGGAGCUAAUACCGGAUAAUAUUUUGAACCGCAUGGUUCAAAAGUGAAAGACGGUCUUGCUGUCACUUAUAGAUGGAUCCGCGCUGCAUUAGCUAGUUGGUAAGGUAACGGCUUACCAAGGCAACGAUGCAUAGCCGACCUGAGAGGGUGAUCGGCCACACUGGAACUGAGACACGGUCCAGACUCCUACGGGAGGCAGCAGUAGGGAAUCUUCCGCAAUGGGCGAAAGCCUGACGGAGCAACGCCGCGUGAGUGAUGAAGGUCUUCGGAUCGUAAAACUCUGUUAUUAGGGAAGAACAUAUGUGGAAGGAACUGUGCACAUCUUGACGGUACCUAAUCAGAAAGCCACGGCUAACUACGUG